CCUACGGGAGGCAGCAGUGGGGAAUAUUGCACAAUGGGGGAAACCCUGAUGCAGCGACGCCGCGUGAGUGAAGAAGUAUCUCGGUACGUAAAGCUCUAUCAGUAGGGAAGAAAAUGACGGUACCUGACUAAGAAGCCCCGACUAACUACGUGCCAGCAGCCGCGGUAAUACGUAGGGGGCAAGCGUUAUCCGGAUUUACUGGGUGUAAAGGGAGCGUAGACGGCAGCACAAGUCAGGAGUGAAAUCCCGGGGCUUAACCCCGGAACUGCUUUGGAGACUGUGCGGCUGGAGUGCAGGAGGGGUAAGGGGAAUUCCUGGUGUAGCGGUGAAAUGCGUAGAUAUUAGGAGGAACACCGGUGGCGAAGGCGGCUUACUGGACUGUAACUGACGUUGAGGCUCGAAAGCGUGGGGAGCAAACAGGAUUAGAUACCCCUGUAGUC
rnacentral:rRNA from 1 species